rnacentral:rRNA from 1 species
GACGAACGCUGGCGGCGUGCCUAAUACAUGCAAGUCGAACGCAGUGGGGAUGGGUGAGUAACACGUGGGUAACCCCCCAUCAGAGGGGAUAACACUUGGACACAGGUGCUAAACCCAUACUGGUGGAUGGACCCGCGGGGCAUUAGCCAGUUGGUGAGGUAACGGCUCACCAAGGCCAAGAUGCAUCUCCGACCUGAGAGGGUGAUCGGCCACACUGGAACUGAAGCACGGCCCAGACUCCUCCGGGAGGCAGCAGUAGGGAAUCUUGGGCAAUGGACGAAAGUCUGACCGAGCAACGCCGCGUGAGUGAAGAAGGUUUUCGGAUCGUAAAACUCUGUUGUUAGAGAAGCGGUAUCUAACCAGAAAGCCACGGCUAACUACGUGCCAGCAGCCGCGGUAAUUC